GGAUGUGAGGGUGAUCUGGCUGCCACAUCUGUCAUGCCAUUGAUCGCCAGGGUUGAUUUGGCUGAUCUGGCUGGCUAGGUGGGUGUCCCCUCCCUCCCUCCCUGCUCCCUGUGUGUUCCUCCCAGCCGACCUUACCCAACAGAGAGAGUACCAUUCUUCGGUCAAGGGUAUACCGGUACAGUAGCUGUGCUCCCCUGCUAGAACCUCCAAACAAGCUCUCAAGAAGGUAUGUUAGCCCUGGCUGGUUUGGCCCAGUGGAUAGAGCGUUUUCCUCUUAUC
rnacentral:snRNA from 1 species